GAUGAACGCUGGCGGCGUGCCUAAUACAUGCAAGUCGAGCGAACAGACGAGGAGCUUGCUCCUUUGACGUUAGCGGCGGACGGGUGAGUAACACGUAGGUAACCUACCUAUAAGACUGGGAUAACUUCGGGAAACCGGAGCUAAUACCGGAUAAUAUUUCGAACCGCAUGGUUCGAUAGUGAAAGAUGGCUUUGCUAUCACUUAUAGAUGGACCGGCGCCGUAUUAGCUAGUUGGUAAGGUAACGGCUUACCAAGGCAACGAUACGUAGCCGACCUGAGAGGGUGAUCGGCCACACUGGAACUGAGACACGGUCCAGACUCCUACGGGAGGCAGCAGUAGGGAAUCUUCCGCAAUGGGCGAAAGCCUGACGGAGCAACGCCGCGUGAGUGAUGAAGGCCUUCGGAUCGUAAAACUCUGUUAUUAGGGAAGAACAAACGUGUAAGUAACUGUGCACGUCUUGACGGUACCUAAUCAGAAAGCCACGGCUAACUACGUG
rnacentral:rRNA from 1 species